rnacentral:sRNA from 1 species
AAGGGCCGCUCGUAUUCUUCGGUUCCGAGCGCGCCGCCCGCACCCACCUGAGGAUUGCUCGCUACGUUUUCCUGGUG